rnacentral:tRNA from 1 species
AAUUCUCGUGUCGCCAGUUCAAAUCUGGUUCCUG